AUUGAACGCUGGCGGAAUGCUUUACACAUGCAAGUCGAACGGGAGUAGCAAUACUCUAGUGGCGAACGGGUGAGUAACACAUCGGAGCGUACCCUGACGUGGGGGAUAACACAUCGAAAGGUGUGCUAAUACCGCAUACGUCCUGAGGGAGAAAGCGGGGGAUCGUAAGACCUCGCGCGUUUGGAGCGGCCGAUGGCGGAUUAGCUAGUUGGUGGGGUAAAGGCCUACCAAGGCGACGAUCCGUAGCUGGUCUGAGAGGACGACCAGCCACACUGGGACUGAGACACGGCCCAGACUCCUACGGGAGGCAGCAGUGGGGAAUUUUGGACAAUGGGCGAAAGCCUGAUCCAGCCAUUCCGCGUGAGUGAAGAAGGCCUUCGGGUUGUAAAGCUCUUUCGGCAGGAACGAAACGGCUCUUUCUAAUACAAGGAGUCAAUGACGGUACCUGAAGAAGAAGCACCGGCUAACUACGUGCCAGCAGCCGCGGUAA
rnacentral:rRNA from 1 species